CUGGUGGAGGUGAUGACGUUUUUUUCCCCGUCAGAGCGACAGUGUUGAUUUCUCACUGUUUAAGCCAGAUUGUGUCUGAUUCACCAGC
rnacentral:snoRNA from 1 species